AAUAACUCUAUUUUCGGCGGCCAG
rnacentral:miRNA from 1 species